UACGGAGGAUCCAAGCGUUAUCCGGAUUUAUUGGGUUUAAAGGGUGCGUAGGCGGAUUGAUAAGUUAGAGGUGAAAUGUCCGAGCUCAACUCGGGAACUGCCUCUAAUACUGUUGAUCUAGAGAGUAGAUGCGGUAGGCGGAAUGUAUGGUGUAGCGGUGAAAUGCUUAGAGAUCAUACAGAACACCGAUUGCGAAGGCAGCCUACCAAUCUAUAUCUGACGUUGAGGCACGAAAGCGUGGGGAGCAAACAGG
rnacentral:rRNA from 1 species